GUGGGGAAUAUUGGACAAUGGGGGGAACCCUGAUCCAGCCAUGCCGCGUGUGUGAAGAAGGCCUUUUGGUUGUAAAGCACUUUAAGCGAGGAGGAGGCUACCGAGAUUAAUACUCUUGGAUAGUGGACGUUACUCGCAGAAUAAGCACCGGCUAACUCUGUGCCAGCAGCCGCGGUAAUACAGAGGUUGCAAGCGUGAAUCGGAUUUACUGGGCGUAAAGCGCGUGUAGGUGGCCAAUUAAGUCAAAUGUGAAAUCACCGAGCUUAACUUGGGAAUUGCAUUCGAUACUGGUUGGCUAGAGUAUGGGAGAGGAUGGUAGAAUUCCAGGUGUAGCGGUGAAAUGCGUAGAGAUCUGGAGGAAUACCGAUGGCGAAGGCAGCCAUCUGGCCUAAUACUGACACUGAGGUGCGAAAGCAUGGGGAGCAAACAGGAUUAGAAACCCUUGUAGUC
rnacentral:rRNA from 1 species